rnacentral:rRNA from 1 species
UACAGGGGGGGGCAAGCGUUGUUCGGAAUUACUGGGCGUAAAGGGCCAGUAGGCGGCCGACUAAGUCCGACGUGAAAUCCCCAGGCUUAACCUGGGAACUGCGUCGGAUACUGGUGGGCUUGAAUUCGGGAGAGGGAUGCAGAAUUCCAGGUGUAGCGGUGAAAUGCGUAGAUAUCUGGAGGAAUACCGGUGGCGAAGGCGGCAUCCUGGACCGACAUUGACGCUGAACGGCGAAAGCUAGGGGAGCAAACGGG